GUCCAGUGCAGAGAUGUUGGAGGAAGUCAAAGCACAAUGAGCUGGAUGUUGAGGACGACUGUGCAGCAGAGAGGCUGCUGAGUGGUUUCAUUCUCCUGCAGUGGAAGAACAUUGUUCAUCUGUUUGGCUUCAACUACGAAGACUAAGACAUGUUGCUUCACCUCUUUGUGUUUCUAUCUCCCUUCAUAGCCAUGGGUUCCAUGGACAGCAUAACACCAGAAAGUACUGAAGAAGUAGUUUCAGAGGGAAGACACAUCAACCUGACCUGUAAAUAUGACGGAUCCAUCAACAACAUCCAGUGGUACCGACAACAGCAGAGCUCCAGACCAGAGUUCCUGCUCUACAUCACAAAGGAAGGAUCCAUUCAUCCAACUCUGUCUGAUUUCUCUGCUCACAUCAACCAGACUGAGAAACGAGUCAAACUGCAGAUCUCCUCUGCUGCAGUGACAGACUCUGCUGUGUACUACUGUGCUCUGCAGCCCACAGUGACAGGAAACUACACAACUCUGUACAAAACAAUCAGCUGUGAAGAACUCACACCGGUCCACAAUGAAGAGUUCAGUGCAGAAGGCAGCUCUGUUACUCUGUCCUAUAACUCCUCCAAAGUCACCAUCUUCUGUCAAAACAACCAGCUUCUGGUCCAGGUUCUGGUCCAGGUUCUGGUCUUCAAGCUGAGUUCACCCACACUCCUCCGCUCCCUUCACUGGCUACCAGUGGCUGCCCAUAUCCGUUUCUAA